rnacentral:rRNA from 1 species
UACGUAGGGUGCAAGCGUUAAUCGGAAUUACUGGGCGUAAAGCGUGCGCAGGCGGUGAUGUAAGACAGAUGUGAAAUCCCAGGGCUCAACCUUGGAACUGCAUUUGUGACUGCAUCGCUGGAGUGCGGCAGAGGGGGAUGGAAUUCCGCGUGUAGCAGUGAAAUGCGUAGAUAUGCGGAGGAACACCGAUGGCGAAGGCAAUCCCCUGGACCUGUACUGACGCUCAUGCACGAAAGCGUGGGGAGCAAACAGG